rnacentral:rRNA from 1 species
CCAGACUCCUACGGGAGGCAGCAGUGGGGAAUAUUGCACAAUGGGCGCAAGCCUGAUGCAGCCAUGCCGCGUGUAUGAAGAAGGCCUUCGGGUUGUAAAGUACUUUCAGUCGGGAGGAAGGUGUCAAGGUUAAUAACCUUAUCAAUUGACGUUACCGACAGAAGAAGCACCGGCUAACUCCGUGCCAGCAGCCGCGGUAAUACGGAGGGUGCAAGCGUUAAUCGGAAUUACUGGGCGUAAAGCGCACGCAGGCGGUCUGUCAAGUCGGAUGUGAAAUCCCCGGGCUCAACCUGGGAACCGCAUUCGAAACUGGCAGGCUGGAGUCUUGUAGAGGGGGGUAGAAUUCCAGGUGUAGCGGUGAAAUGCGUAGAGAUCUGGAGGAAUACCGGUGGCGAAGGCGGCCCCCUGGACAAAGACUGACGCUCAGGUGCGAAAGCGUGGGGAGCAAACAGGAUUAGAUACCCCGGUAAA